rnacentral:misc_RNA from 1 species
AUAGGAUUUGGUGUGUCUUUCUUCUUGAUGUUCUCUGUCUAUGCAGCCAGUUUCUAUGCAGGAGCUCAACUUGUCAAGCAUGGGAACACAACAUUCUCAGAUGUUUUCCAGGUUUUCUUUGCUCUAUCCAUGGCAGCUUUGGUAAUUUCUCAAUCGAGUUCUUUUGCUUCUGAUUCUUCCAAGGCCAAGAAUGCCGCUGCUUCCAUAUUUUCAAUUUUAGACUGAAAGUCAAAGGUAGAUCCAAGCAAUGAGUCAGGAAUGACAAUAGAGAAUGUUAGAGGAGAAGUUGAACUUUGCCAUGUAAGCUUUAGGUAUCCAUCCAGGCCAGAUAUUCAAAUCUUACAAGACCUCAAUUUGGCUAUUCAUUCUGGCAAGACUCUGGCUCUAGUUGGAGAAAGUGGAAGUGGGAAGUCGACCGUCAUCUCAUUGUUGCAAAGAUUUUA